rnacentral:rRNA from 1 species
UGUGUAGGCGGUGUUCCAAGUCUGGUGUGAAAUCUCCCGGCUUAACUGGGAGGGUGCGCUAGAAACUGGAAUGCUAGAGGAUGGGAGAGGUAAGCGGAAUUCCUGGUGUAGCGGUGAAAUGCGUAGAUAUCAGGAGGAACACCUGUGGUGUAGACAGCUUACUGGACCAUUUCUGACGCUGAGACACGAAAGCGUGGUAGCAAACA